ensembl:snoRNA SNORD31 Small nucleolar RNA SNORD31
CUCACCAAUGAUGAUUUGAAUACCGCCCCAGUCUGAAAGCUGUGAAGAAGGGUAUUUUCUGAGUUAUG